CCAUGCAAGUUGAGCGAGGCCGGUAGCAAUACCGAGCCCUAGCGGCGAACGGGUGAGUAACGCGUGGAUAACCUGCCCUGAAGUGGGGAAUAACCCGGGGAAACUCGGGCUAAUACCGCAUGAUACCGAGAGGUCAAAGAGGGCUCGUAAGGGCUCUUGCUACAGGAGGGGUCCGCGUUCGAUUAGCUAGUUGGUAGGGUAAUGGCCUACCAAGGCGACGAUCGAUAGCCGGCCUGAGAGGGUGAUCGGCCACACUGGAACUGAGACACGGUCCAGACUCCUACGGGAGGCAGCAGUGGGGAAUUUUGCGCAAUGGGCUAACGCCUGACGCACCAACGCCGCGUGGAGGAUGAAGGUCUUUGGAUUGUAAACUCCUGUCAGCAGGGAAAAAGGGAGUCAACCUAA
rnacentral:rRNA from 1 species